UGAGUUGCGAACGGGUGAGUAACGCGUAGGUAACCUGCCUGGUAGCGGGGGAUAACUAUUGGAAACGAUAGCUAAUACCGCAUAAGAGUAGAUGUUGCAUGACAUUUGCUUAAAAGGUGCAAAUGCAUCACUACCAGAUGGACCUGCGUUGUAUUAGCUAGUUGGUGGGGUAACGGCUCACCAAGGCGACGAUACAUAGCCGACCUGAGAGGGUGAUCGGCCACACUGGGACUGAGACACGGCCCAGACUCCUACGGGAGGCAGCAGUAGGGAAUCUUCGGCAAUGGACGGAAGUCUGACCGAGCAACGCCGCGUGAGUGAAGAAGGUUUUCGGAUCGUAAAGCUCUGUUGUAAGAGAAGAACGAGUGUGAGAGUGGAAAGUUCACACUGUGACGGUAUCUUACCAGAAAGGGACGGCUAACUACGUGCCAGCAGCCGCGGUAAUACGUAGGUCCCGAGCGUUGUCCGGAUUUAUUGGGCGUAAAGCGAGCGCAGGCGGUUAGAUAAGUCUGAAGUUAAAGGCUGUGGCUUAACCAUAGUAGGCUUUGGAAACUGUUUAACUUGAGUGCAAGAGGGGAGAGUGGAAUUCCAUGUGUAGCGGUGAAAUGCGUAGAUAUAUGGAGGAACACCGGUGGCGAAAGCGGCUCUCUGGCUUGUAACUGACGCUGAGGCUCGAAAGCGUGGGGAGCAAACAGGAUUAGAUAUCCUGGUAGUCCACGCCGUAAACGAUGAGUGCUAGGUGUUAGACCCUUUCC
rnacentral:rRNA from 1 species